GACGAACGCUGGCGGCGUGCUUAACACAUGCAAGUCGAACGGAUAGGCCCUGCUUUUGUGGGGUGCCCGAGUGGCGAAGGGGUGAGUAACACGUGAGUAUCCUGCCUAUGACUGUGGAACAACUUCAGGUACCUGGUGCUAAUACCGGAUUGGAGCUUCAGCUGCAAGGUGGGGGUUGGAAAGCUUCGGCGGAUGGAGAUGGACUAGCGGCUUAUCAGCUUGUUGGUGGGGUAGUGGCUUACCAAGGCUUCGGCGGGUAGCCGACCUGAGAGGGGGGCCGGCCACGUUAGGACUGAGAUACGGCCCAGACUCGUACGGGAGGCAACGGUGGGGAAGAGUGUACAGGGGGCGGGAGCCUGAUGCGGCAACGCCGCGUGCGGGAAGACGGGCAGGGGGUUGUGAACCGCUGUCGCCUUUGACGAAGCGUGAGUGACGGUAAUGGGUAAAGAAGCACCGGCUAACUACGUG
rnacentral:rRNA from 1 species